UACGUAGGGACCAAGCGUUGUUCGGAUUUACUGGGCGUAAAGGGCGCGUAGGCGGCAAUUCAAGUCAGCUGUGAAAUCUCCGGGCUUAACUCGGAACGGUCAGCUGAUACUGCUUUGCUAGAGUGCAGAAGGGGCAAUCGGAAUUCUUGGUGUAGCGGUGAAAUGCGUAGAUAUCAAGAGGAACACCAGAGGCGAAGGCGGAUUGCUGGGCUGAUACUGACGCUGAGGCGCGAAAGCUAGGGUAGCAAACGGG
rnacentral:rRNA from 1 species